rnacentral:rRNA from 2 species
ACGCUGGCGGCAGGCCUAACACAUGCAAGUCGAGCGGAAACGACACUAACAAUCCUUCGGGUGCGUUAAUGGGCGUCGAGCGGCGGACGGGUGAGUAAUGCCUAGGAAAUUGCCUUGAUGUGGGGGAUAACCAUUGGAAACGAUGGCUAAUACCGCAUAAUGCCUACGGGCCAAAGAGGGGGACCUUCGGGCCUCUCGCGUCAAGAUAUGCCUAGGUGGGAUUAGCUAGUUGGUGAGGUAAUGGCUCACCAAGGCGACGAUCCCUAGCUGGUCUGAGAGGAUGAUCAGCCACACUGGAACUGAGACACGGUCCAGACUCCUACGGGAGGCAGCAGUGGGGAAUAUUGCACAAUGGGCGAAAGCCUGAUGCAGCCAUGCCGCGUGUAUGAAGAAGGCCUUCGGGUUGUAAAGUACUUUCAGUUGUGAGGAAGGGGGUAKCGUUAAUAGCGSYAUCUCUUGACGUUAGCAACAGAAGAAGCACCGGCUAACUCCGUGCCAGCAGCCGCGGUAAUACGGAGGGUGCGAGCGUUAAUCGGAAUUACUGGGCGUAAAGCGCAUGCAGGUGGUUCAUUAAGUCAGAUGUGAAAGCCCGGGGCUCAACCUCGGAACUGCAUUUGAAACUGGUGAACUAGAGUACUGUAGAGGGGGGUAGAAUUUCAGGUGUAGCGGUGAAAUGCGUAGAGAUCUGAAGGAAUACCAGUGGCGAAGGCGGCCCCCUGGACA